UGGGAAUAUUGCACAAUGGGCGAAAGCCUGAUGCAGCAACGCCGCGUGAGUGAUGAAGGCCUUCGGGUUGUAAAGCUCUGUCUUUUGGGACGAUAAUGACGGUACCAAAGGAGGAAGCCACGGCUAACUACGUGCCAGCAGCCGCGGUAAUACGUAGGUGGCAAGCGUUGUCCGGAUUUACGGGCGUAAAGGAUGCGUAGGCGGAUUUUUAAGUGAGAUGUGAAAUACCCGGGCUUAACUUGGGUGCUGCAUUUCAAACUGGGAAUCUAGAGUGCGGGAGAGGAAAUGGAAUUCCUAGUGUAGCGGUGAAAUGCGUAGAGAUUAGGAAGAACACCAGUGGCGAAGGCGAUUCUCUGGACCGUAACUGACGCUGAGGCAUGAAAGCGUGGGUAGCAAACAGGAUUAGAUACCCUGGUAGUCCACGCCGUAAACGAUGAGUACUAGGUGUAGGAGGUAUCGACCCCUUCUGUGCCGCAGUUAACACAAUAAGUACUCCGCCUGGGAAGUACGAUCGCAAGAUUAAAACUC
rnacentral:rRNA from 1 species